rnacentral:rRNA from 1 species
AUUGAACGCUGGCGGCAGGCCUAACACAUGCAAGUCGAACGAGUGGCGGACGGGUGAGUAAUGUCUGGGAAACUGCACGAUGGAGGGGGAUAACUACUGGAAACAGUAGCUAAUACCGCAUACCAUCGGAUGUGCCCAGAUGGGAUUAGCUAGUAGGUGGGGUAACGUCUCACCUAGGUGACGAUCCCUAGCUGGUCUGAGAGGAUGACGAGCCACACGGGAACGGAGACACGGUCUAGACUCCUACGGGAGGCAGCGGUGGGGAACAUUGGAGAAGGGGCGCAAGCCUGAUGCAGCCAUGCCGCGUGUAGGAAGAAGGCCUUCGGGGUGUAAAGUACUUUCAUCGAGGAGGCGGUACUCGCAGAAGAAGCACCGGCUAACUCCGUGCCAGCAGCCGCGGUAAUAC